UCAGCCGCGUGAAAUAGUUUCACGGACAGUUCAUUCUGUGAUUUGAUUUCGUCCACAGGUCAAAUUUGUCAAAUUGCCCUAUUUUACCUGCCUUUUACCCGCAGUCCUCCUAAUAAGUCGAACCUUAACAGUUACGGACGAGAGAAAAAAAAACGCAGCCGCCCGCACGGCCCAUCCUCCUGAUCCCAUAUCGACUCCUGCGCGCCGCCACCUCCUGCCCCGCCUCACCGCACGCCGCACACCGCCGCCCCCCAGCCCCUCGUCGCGGCUCUCCACCGGACUGCCCUUGUCGCCGCGCUCCUCCGGACCGCCCCCCCUCGCCGUGCGCCGCCACCUCCUACCGUCGCCGUGCUCCGCCACCGCCUACCCCGCCGGCGCGCCUACUCCCACCCAAGUGCCCCCACACCCGCGGCCUUCCACCGCCGGCAACUCUCGACGUCAGGGGUUGGGGAGGCGGAUUCGGGGGCGGGCGACGCGGCGGGGGUCGCCGGUGACGACGAUGAAGGCAGGCAUAAUUUUUUCCCCGACCCCUGCGAACCCUAGCAGCCGCACAAACGUCACCCCGCCGCCGGCCAUGGGGUCGUUUCCCCGCGCCUCCUCUUCUCCCUCUGCUCCAGGCCCCCUCUCUCGCGCUGCUAGGAGUAGUGGUCUCUAGCAGCUGCCCUCCCCUCAGUCAUCGCAUCAAUCUCCUGCUCCAUCUCUCUCCAACAUCCCCGCUCUCCUCUCGCAUCACACACAGGCGGUGGCUAUGCAUAUCUGGCCGGGUGUGGCGUGUGUGGCAUCUGUGACGUGCUUCGGCCCGCCGGUUGUCCCUGAUGUGUGCGGCUGGAUGUGCGUCCCUGUUCAUGUGUGUGGCGCUUUACAUGCAGAGGAAGUGAAUGCUUGCAAGCAGAGGAAGCUGUUGGCCGUUGGCAAAGGAGGAUUAGGAUAGUUCUCUUGAUCUUGGAGCUUCAAGACACCAAGUACCAUUGCAACUUUCAUUUAUCUGUUGUGUGAACCAAUCUGUGAUGGCUUCUAAACGCACUUGGCUGGAACAGAGCAAUUUUCUGUAGUCUUCGGCGACGAUGUGGUGCUGCACUGCUGCUCUCUUACUGCUAGCUUGCUACUUCUAGCUGAAUUUUGCUAUUGCUGCUAGCUGAAUUUUGCAUAGGCAUGGCAAGCUGUUUGGUACGUAUACAAAUGCUGUUAUUUUUGUUAUUGCUCACACCCGGCCGCCCACGCUCACGGCCAGUGCUGCAGAUUUCGUGGCUGGCCAGCUUAUCCUCAAUGUGUUCUGACUCGGAGGUCGGAGUUGAAGCUGACGACAGACUCAAGCACUCCACCAUAUUCUUAGUAUUGCAUACCGUCACCGCUGAGGGGUUAGCCAAGCUGCUUUUAAAAGUCAUAUAACAAUUAAGUGCUAGAUAUUGUCACAGAUAGAUUUUGAUGGAUAGGAAUUUAAUAAGCUACAAAGCAGUGUAGGUCGAGAUGAACAGAGAAUGGUAUGCAUAAUGUGUAACAAUAUUUGAUACAGUUGCAUUGACAGGUCUGGGCUCGUUGGAGGGUUGUAUGCUUUUGAUUGAUUAAGCUUAACACUUCUGCUCACUCAUUAUUUACUCUGUAUUCAUCAAAAAAUAUUUAUUUUGUACUAUAUCAUAGCAUGUUCGACGGACAGAGGCAGAGACGGCCAUGGUUCUAGCUGAUAGCACUUGAUAACUUAAGAACUCUACAUACCUUUUAUCUAACUAAAAGAGAGUUUCUUGCCAACUAUUGAGCCUACAAGUUUUAGAUCUAUGUCUCUAAAGCCACUACUCAACUUCAUGUCGGUACUUUUCUGUAGAGUAUACCUCCAUAAUUCUCCAUCUAAGAUAGUACUAAAGUUUAUUGAUGAUGCUUAGUUUCAGGAUAUGCCUUACAAGCCAUCCAUGUGAGAAAUCCAAGGGGUUCAAGGCGUAUUGAAAAGGAGCUGGAGUAGGUAGGUGGUGGAUUGAGGAAGGAUCUGGAGCAGAGGCGGAAUCGAGGCUGCCCCUACGUGCGCUAAGGUGCUGCAAGGCGCCUGCGAUCCAGACACUGCUAUGUUUUCUCCUUCUCUUCAGGUAAGCCCUCAGCAGCACCUCCCGUACCCCCUCCAUCCGAAUUCAGCAGCGCACAACGACAGCGGUAGCCGACGUCCUCCUCAUCCAUGACACUCCCAACUUUUUUGCUUGUUACAACCCAUAUCAUACACGGUUCUGCAUUGUGGUGUGUGUGCCAAAGUUCAAAAUUGCAUAAGUUCUUGGAGGACGGGAAAGAACAUAAAAUUUAUGUUUUCAGUCACAAGUCUGCUCCCCAUUGUGGAUAGCGUCAAACGGAAUGUGGUGAACAGGUGCGAGACAGAAUUUAGUGGAGAUGCAAGAUGAAAGAUGGAACAUGAUGCUUCAAAUCAGCAUAAUUAUAAGGAUUACUAAAUUUCUCAGGGAAAUCAAUGCAACGGUGAUAAAUAUAUGUAAUUGCAUUUUUUUCCGGGAAUAUGUAAUUGCAUGUAUAGCAUCUGUUUUGAACUGUAUUUUAUAUGCCAUUUAUGUAUCAUGGUGGAACACAAAAUUUAAAUAGAAAAGAAUAGCAGUAACUAAUGUAUAUCUUGCAAUUUCAGAUAUAUAUCUAUGCGACUAUGCUUAUCUAAAGUACAUACAAUGCAUACUGUGGAAUCAUACAUCAAAUAUUCAUACUUAACUAAAUAUUCUGCAAGUUUUGUUUGCCGCUGCUUGGUCAAGAAAAGCCUAUUGCUCGCCACUAUGUGCGGUUCUCUGCCAUUUCAUGGGGUGCAACCGGAAGUGGCACAAGACUCUAGUUGUGUCGUGCUUAAAUUUACUGAUGUUGAUGUUUCUUUUCAAGAUUGUAGUAUUGUUUACCAUUUUGGUCCCCGGGUUAUGUACUCAUUUCCUUUUCUAUUAUUUGUAAGUAAUUUGCUUCGGUUCAUCGAACUACCUGCUGAAAUAUGUGUAUUAUUUCUCAAUAUAUUGGGCAUCAAUCCACCUCUCA